UUUUAAAGUGAUUUAUUUCUUUAUGUGCA
rnacentral:piRNA from 1 species